rnacentral:rRNA from 1 species
AGUGAACGCUGGCGGCGUGCUUAACACAUGCAAGUCGAACGAGAACGGAUUAUAGCUUGCUAUAAUUGUCAGCUAAGUGGCGCACGGGUGAGUAAUGUAUAGGUAAUAUGCCUCUUACUAAGGGAUAACAAAUGGAAACGUCUGCUAAUACCUUAUACUCCUUAUUAACAGAAGUUCAUAAGGGAAAGAUUUAUUGGUAAGAGAUUAGCCUGUAUUGUAUCAGUUAGUUGUUGGGGUAAUGGCUUACCAAGACUAUGACACAUAACUGGUUUGGAAGGAUGACCAGCCACACUGGAACUGAGACACGAUCCAGACUCCUACGGGAGGAAGCAGUGGGGAAUAUUGCACAAUGGACGAAAGUCUGAUGCAGCAACGCCGCGUGGAGGAUGACACAUUUCGGUGCGUAAACUCCUUUUAUAUGAGAAGAUAAUGACGGUAUUAUAUGAAUAAGCACCGGCUAACUCCGUGCCAGCCGCCGCGGUAAAAC